rnacentral:rRNA from 1 species
AUUGAACGCUGGCGGCAUGCUUUACACAUGCAAGUCGAACGGUAACAGGUUAAGCUGACGAGUGGCGAACGGGUGAGUAAUGCAUCGGAACGUGCCCGAUCGUGGGGGAUAACGCAGCGAAAGCUGCGCUAAUACCGCAUACGAUCUGAGGAUGAAAGCGGGGGACCGUAAGGCCUCGCGCGAUCGGAGCGGCCGAUGUCAGAUUAGGUAGUUGGUGGGGUAAAGGCCCACCAAGCCAACGAGCUGUAGCUGGUCUGAGCGGACGACCAGCCACACGGGGACUGAGACACGGCCCAGACUCCUACGGGAGGCAGCAGUGGGGAAUUUUGGACAAUGGGCGAAAGCCUGAUCCAGCAAUGCCGCGUGCAGGAAGAAGGCCUUCGGGUUGUAAACUGCUUUUGUACGGAGCGAAAAGGUCUCCUCUAAUACAGGGGGCUCAUGACGGUACCGUAAGAAUAAGCACCGGCUAACUACGUGCCAGCAGCCGCGGUAA